CCAGAAGGUGAGGACGACCACGUCGCUGGAGCUCGGAGCUGGAGUCCUUAACAAACACCGACGACCGCAUGUUGUGGAUGUGACAGCGAGGAAGGGGAAGACAUUUCACAGAGGUGCGUUUAAAAUGGUCAAAAGAAGAAAUAAGAAAGGUUAUGUGAAUCACGUGGUGGGAUUUUCCCCAAAUCCUAUUGUGAAUCAGACAAUGGUCGGCCUGUCUCUGGGUGGUAACAGCAACAAGGUUAGAGAGAAUAUUGGACCCGGUUCAGAGCACUGAAACCUUGAACCAAAAGACAAAGAGAAGCUCCAGAAACACACACACACACACACAAGCAGACUGAAAGAAUAGACGCACAAACACGAAGGCCCAGCGGUCUGCAUACAGAACAGGACCGGACACGGGUCUGACAGUGCAGGGGAUUCAGGCCCGAUCAACAGGAUAUGAUCCAAGAUCCUUUUCAACCGGGCUUCAGCAACCUCCGGAGGCGGCACCGAUUUUAUGUCCGGGAGCAUUUUUUUCUUAUCUUUACUGCCAAUAACAAGCAAAUUGAAUUCAUUCCAGAUGCUCCUCUUGAGGCGUUGAAGGCAAAGGCGACCUCUGCCUUUAAAUGUUGCCCGGCCGUGUUUAUAUUCAGAGGAAGGCAAAGAGAAAGCUGCUACUCUGUCCACAUAUUAAAAAAAAAAAACUACGGUUGGAUCAAAUAAAAGUCAACGCGCAGCAGCACCGCCUCGGUCCGCUCUAAAUCAGAGGCUUUUGAUGACAUCACAUUUCGCCUCAUACGACACAACGCCAUUAGUGACGACUGCAUGCAAACCAACGGGCCCAUUUCAGCCCGGAGUACGGGACGAAUAAAAGCUUUUCAUUCAUUUAAUCCCAUAAUAAAAGCUGUGUCACACCGCCCACUGCAACAAUCGGCUUCCAGACCCUCACGGUGGGAUCGUGCACGAUGUUGUGUGUGUGUGUGUGUGUGUGUGUUACAACAGCGCCUUGCUGAUUUAUUCCCCCUCUCCUUGGGCACAAAGUCUGUUGUUGUCCACCCACCCACCAGCACACGGUGCACGAGGAAACAACCGUUUGCUGCGGCUUUUGCGGUUGGAUAAUUGUUUUUAGGCAUAACAUCAUUCUGCUUGCAAAAGACGGCGAAGCCAUAACCACGAGUCAAGGAGAGGGGUGCUGGAGGUACGGAGGGGAAGGACACUCGGGAUAGUGUGGAAACAGCAUGAGGCGCUCCCUCCCUCCCUCUCUAGACCCGCAGCGAGUCGCCACCGUUUUUACUUUCCAUGGUCAUUCAGCCGAUCCUAAAGAAAAAACAAAAACAGGUCUGAAGGAGAAACAAGCCCACCAAUGGGAGAGGGAGAUUGGAUACGUUUGCUGCUGCCUCACUUUCCAUAACCUUUAAUUCUCCCUCCACGCGCUUCCCACGGAAAGCCAGUCAGCCUCGUGGACGGCGGCGGCGGCGGCGCUCUCUCGUGGGGAGGCGCCGGGCGGUGUAACGUGUGGCUAUCGAUCGGCAGGGAACAGGAGAAGGCGCCCGGCUGCUCUGCAACCAAAGGAACAUCAGAUCCAUAUUGAAGUGGUGGAGGGAUGACUUUGCGUACAAACACUGUGAGGUGACUGAAGCUCAAGACCCGACUCGCUCAAUGCUGAUUUCGGUAUUUUGUUACAUAAACCACAUCAGAGCGGGACAGAAUGACCUCAAAAUCAACCUUUUCUCAUUUUGAUGAAUCGGAAAAUUGCUUCUCGGUUGAUUGUUUGGUCCAUAAAAUGUCAGAAAAUUGUCACAAUAUGAUGGAAACACAACGCUGUGUCUUCAGUCAAAUAAAGUGCCAAGCUCAAUCA